UACGAAGGGGGCUAGCGUUGCUCGGAAUCACUGGGGCGUAAAGGGUGCGUAGGCGGGUUUUUAAGUCAGGGGUGAAAUCCUGGAGCUCAACUCCAGAACUGCCUUUGAUACUGAAGAUCUUGAGUCCGGGAGAGGUGAGUGGAACUGCGAGUGUAGAGGUGAAAUUCGUAGAUAUUCGCAAGAACACCAGUGGCGAAGGCGGCUCACUGGCCCGGUACUGACGCUGAGGCACGAAAGCGUGGGGAGCAAACAGG
rnacentral:rRNA from 1 species